rnacentral:rRNA from 1 species
UUAAAUGGCCGCAGUAAUUUGACUGUGCAAAGGUAGCAUAAUCAAUAGUUUUUUAAUUGAAAGCUUGUAUGAAAGGUUGGACGAAAUAAUAUCUGUCUUUAUUUAAUAAUUAUUAAAAUUUAAUUUUUAAGUUAAAAAGCUUAAAUAAUUAUAAAAGACGAGAAGACCCUAUAAAGCUUUAUAAAUUUUAAUUUAUAAAUAUUUUAGAUUUUUUAUUUUUAUAAUUUUAAAUUUAUUUUAUUGGGGUAAUAGAAAGAUUUAAUUAAUUCUUUUUUUUUAUUUUAUUUAUUUAUAUUUUAAUGAUCCAUUAUUAUUGAUUAUAAGAUUAAGUUACUUUAGGGAUAACAGCGUAAUUUUUUUAGAGAGUUCAUAUUGAUAAAAAAGUUUGCGACCUCGAUGUUGGAUUAAAGAUUAAUUUAGGUGCAAAAGUUUAAAUUUUUGGUCUGUUCGACCAUUAAAUCUUUACAUGAUCUGAGUUCAGACCGGUUUAAGCCAGGUCGGUUUCUAUCUUUAUUAUAUUAAAAUAUUUUAGUACGAAAGGACCAAAUAUUAAUUAUAUUAAUUAUGAUUUGAAUAAUAAU